UACGAAGGGGACUAGCGUUGUUCGGAUUUACUGGGCGUAAAGCGCACGUAGGCGGCUUCUUAAGUCAGGGGUGAAAUCCCCCAGCUCAACUGGGGAACUGCCUUUGAUACUGAAUGUCUCGAGUAAGGUGAGGGGCAUGCGGAACUGAUGGUGGAGCGGUGAAAUGUGUUGAUAUCAUCAGGAACUCCGGUGGCGAAGGCGGCAUGCUGGACCUUCACU
rnacentral:rRNA from 1 species